rnacentral:rRNA from 1 species
AUGAUAACACAUAUAUGUCAACUAUGGUUGUUGGCUCCAACAAUUAUCAUUGGUCUCAAACCAAUGAAGUGCAUGAAGAUGAUCAUGAGUAUGAAGUGGAUGAGGAUGGUGAGGGUAUCGUCGAUGCACCAAAAGGAAGAGUGGGCACCUACACCAUUGACGAAGACGUCUAGCUAUGCAAUACAUGGUUGCAUGUGUCUAUGGAUGCCUGAAGGAAAUAUGCCCUAG